GAAAGGGGGAAGGGAGGCAGACAGGCUUGUGCUGGGGGCCUGGCCAACAAUGUGCUUCUCCUUGGCAGCCAGCAGAGGGGAAGAGGAGCCCGCGGGAAGAACCGCAGGCGAGACGGAGAAUGAGGGCCAUUCAGGGUGUGACAGCCGCCUCGGCGAGGCUUAGAGGGACUCACCAGGCAGAUACGCAGGUCAGCUGGUCGAGCAAAAGUAGGCCUGCAAGACGUCGUGAUGUGAUGGCAGGGGACGACACAAUGCCUGCGUGAGGAGAUGCAGUGAGAAACAUCUCAUGGCGAGGAAGCUCCUCCCCAUGUGGCUUAGCCGGGACUCAAAGAUGCCCCCCUUCUUCACCCGCGACAAGGCCAGACACAGACUCUAAAUUCCCUUCUUU
rnacentral:lncRNA from 1 species